UGCCACUGGUUCCUUGCAGCUGUGACUCCCCAGGGUAAGAGGCAAAGAGCCACCAGGUCCCAGCUGAGGAAGCCCUGUGGUCAGCUCAGACAGGGAUGCGGACUGAAGCCGAAGCAGGUGUUAGUAAUUGUCGUACCUACAGACGAGGAAACCGAGCCUCCAUGAAGUGAAGUGACUCACCCACAGUCACACAGCUAAUAUAUGCCAGAGCCCACAGCAGAACCCAGACGUACUGAGGCCAAGUUCCAUGCCAGCAUAAAACAGGGCCUGCUGAAAUGCCUAGCGCUUCAACAAGGUGAGCUCUUGUAGGCCAGGGGCCAAAUGACGGACAUCAUGUGCCACCAACACCACACAGAUGAAGGCGGUGGGCCAGGGCAGAGUUCUGGUUCUCCUGCAUCCUAAGAUGAAAGCUAAAGUCAGAAAGGAGGGAGGAAGACAAUGACGACAUUUAAAACCUAAAAACAGCGGCCAUUUCCAACUCAGUAUUUCACACACAUUCACUUUGUCUCAACCAAUAGAGCAGAAAAUCUCUUAGAACUGAAACUUCAUUUUCAAAUAUGUUUCGCAUCUCCUCUGUAUUUAGUCUUAUGCUCUGUUAAACAAGACAGCAGGAAUAUUUCCCAACACUUAGAAAGCAAACAACAGGCCAGGUGCAGUGGCUCACACCUGUAAUCUCAGCAUUUUGGGAGGCCGAAGUGGGCGGAUCACAUGAGGCCAGGAGCUCAAGACCAGCCUGGCCAACAUGGCGAAACCCCGUCUCUACUAAAAAUACAAAAAUUAUCCAGGUGUAGUGGUGCACGUCUGUAAUCCCAGCUACUCGGGAGGCUGAGGCACAAGAAUCAUUUGAACCUGGGAAGUGGAAGUUGCAGUGAGCCAAGAUCACGCCACUGCACUCCAGCCUGGGCAACAGAAGGAGACUCAAAAAAGAAAGGAGGAAGGGAGGGAGGGAGGAAGGGAGGAAGGGGAAGGAAGGAAAAGAAGGGAAGGAAGGGAAAGAAAGAAGGAAAGAAAAA
rnacentral:lncRNA from 1 species